CACAGAGCAAGCCUCCAGGACCUAGUUCAAGUCCUGCCUUCUCAGGGGAACCCUCCGUGAUGGCUUGGCCCUCAACCUAGCUCAACUUCUUGGUCCUGUGAGGGCUCAGGAGACCCAGUUCUCUGAAGGAGACACUCCUGCCAGCAGUGACAACCCAGCAUGACAAAGACCAGGACACGAAGACCACAGGGCACAGAGGGAGACCAGGGGCAGCACUGGGCCCAGCCUGGCAGCCAGGAAGAAGAGCCUGUGAAGUCCAGCUUUGUGACAGCCUGUCUCCAUCAAACAUAUGAAGAACUGAGAAAACAUUGAACUUGGAGCCACAAGAACCACUGCAUUGUGAACCACUUACUGCAUAUCCACAUCAUGACAGCACUUAACAUGCUUGUAUAUAAUCUAAGCUUCAUAACAACCCUGCAAAUAGGGAGCUGCACCCUAAUUUUACACCUGGGGACAGACACACUAUAGGAUGUAACAGAAUUGAAAACCAAGUUCUGUUUCCCAGCUUUGCCACCUACAAAUCGUGUAAAACUUGGGCCAUCUUAACUUCUCUGCUCUUCAGUUUUCCUUAUCUGUAAAAUGGGAAGAAUAAUACCUUCAUCACAGGGAUUUUGUGAG